CUUAUGUAUUCAUAUUUGUAUUCUAAUUCUUUUCUGCUUCUUUCUUAGCCUCACACCCGAAAUAGUCAGUACACCUUCCUCCCCAGAAGAGGAGGAUAAGUCAAUACUUAAUGCAGUUGUUCUUAUUGAUGAUUCAGUGCCAACGACAAAAAUUCAGAUCAGGUUAGCUGAUGGGAGUCGUUUGAUACAAAGAUUCAAUAGUACACACAGGAUCCUGGAUAUCCGGGACUUUAUUGUACAGUCCCGUCCUGAAUUUGCAACUCUUGACUUUAUUCUUGUGACUUCAUUUCCAAAUAAAGAGCUAACAGAUGAAAGUCUGACACUGCAAGAAGCAGAUAUUCUUAACACUGUGAUACUCCAGCAACUAAAAUAAUACUGUUCCUAUCCAUGCAGUAGCAUGUAGGAAUAGAUAAUGUGCCAUAUUAAUAAGGAAAAUACUUCCAGCCUAAAAACAAUCAAAUUAUUUUUCUUAUUUUUACAAAUAAAUUUUGCUUUUAUUGUUAUUCUGUCUUCCAGCCUUUGUACAGAUGAAUUUGGAUUAGGGAUAGAUCUUAAGAUAAGUAUGUUUGAGUUUUUAGUUGCACGGCUGGCUUAUGUUGAUAGCUUUGAAAUAUCUAAGCAAACCAAUUUGUUACAUUCUGAGUGUUAAUGUAAUAACAUUUGUUUACAGAAAAAAUGAACAAAACCCCUUUUUAAUAAAUGCAUUCGAUAGAAUUUGCACUGAAGUUUCUUGAUGCAGCAUUGACCAACAGCCAUUAAGAAAUCUUUUGAUCAAAUAAGUUAAAAAUUUUUCUGUAAUAUAAAUUGAAAGUAUCUACUCUGA